rnacentral:piRNA from 1 species
UUGAAGCAUUAUUCGACAAGG